CCCUGUCAAUUUCACUUCACACAGGCUCUUUUGUCAAGUUGGAAGCAGUAAAAUAACACAGAAGGCUACUUCCUGAGGCAAAAUAGGUCGAUUCAGAUGCAGAAAGCAAAACAGAUCAUCAUGAGACAUUGGAUCUGGGCUACAUUUUGCCAAGGAGAGGAACAUCUGUGGAGUCUGGAAAGUGGAAGUAAAUCAGAAGCUUUAUUCUCUGGAGGUGGUGGCUGCCAGAUGAACAUGCACAUAUGAGUCAGCCUCAGGCAGAUUUGUUCUGUUACCUGAAUUUCCAGCCCUGUCUUGUGCCAUUUCUGGGAAUACAUGGAGUCUGACCCAGCAGUGGGCACAGAAACAUGCAGGUGCAGAAAUACUAAAGACGAAAAGCUCACUGUAGCUUUGCAACAGCUAGAAGAUAUUGAACUGAAAUAUGAAAUGCAUUAAGGUAACAAAUUUGAAAAUGUUCAUUUCA
rnacentral:lncRNA from 1 species